UCAAUAGGGAAAGCAGAAAACCUGCAACUGAAAAAAAAAAUUCUCUUUUACAGCAUUAAAUUUCAUUUUAUUUAAUUAAUUAAUUCUUUUGUUGUUGCUUUUUUUUUUUUUGCUUUUUUUUGUGAGUCGGAGUCUUUCUUGCUCUGUCACCCAGGCUGCUAUGCAGUGACCUUAUCUCAGCGCACUGCAGCCUCUGCCUCCUGGGUUCAAGUGAUUCUCCUGUCUCAGCCUCUUGAGUAGCUGGGACUACAGGCGCCCGCCACCACACCCGGCUAAUUGUUUUUGUAUUUUUAGUAGAGACGGGCUUUUGCCAUGUUGGCCAGGCUGGUCUCGAACUCCUGACCUCAGCUGAUCCGCCUGCCUCAGCCUCCCAAAGUGCUGGGAUUACAGGCAUGAGCCACCGUGCCCGGCAUAAAUUUUAUUUUCAACAACCAGAAGAGCCUUUGGGUUUUUGCUACUUUUGUUUGUUCGCUUUUACAUUCUAGUGUAAUCCUUUAGGUGGUGGGAAAUGGGAAACAUAGGCAAUUAAGUGGUCAUGUGUUCUACAUGACCCCCUAAAACUUCAUUGACCGCUUAUGGUCACUGACCACUACAUGAUGGGCUCCUCCACCCUAUCAAAAUGCUGACAUGCCCUUGGUGCAGCUGCAUCCAACAGCUCUGUCUACAACAGAAAUGUGCCCUUGGAAACUCCCCCUCCAGUAUGAACUACUUGACUCUCUUUUCUUUUUUUUUUUUUUUUUUUUUUGAGACGGAGUCUUGCUCCGUCGCCCAGGCUGGAGUGCAGUGGCCGGAUCUCAGCUCACUGCAAGCUCCACCUCCUGGGUUUACGCCAUUCUCCCGCCUCAGCCUCCCGAGCAGCUGGGACCACAGGUGCCCGCCACCUCGAUAAAAAUGAAGUAAAUAUUUUUAAUCCUUCAAUCUUUUCAGAUGAAAAAAAUUGAAUAAACUGGCCCUUCCUCCCUCUACCAGAUUUUUCUAAUCUAUAACUUAGAGUGCCAAAAUAAAGUCAUUAUUAUAAAAAUAGAUGGUGUAUUUACACAAUUGCAUGCCACAGUAUUUAAGUAAAUAAUACGUGAAUUAAUUUCAGGUUAAAAAUCUUUCCUUUAAGACUUCCUCAUUUUUUUUCCGAUAUCAUCUGUAUUUUAACAUCUUACUGCGCAGCUGCAUUUCUCAUGUUUAAUUUAUGUUGGAGUUCUUUUGUGACAAGCCCAACUUAUUUUUUAAAGGAAAUCAAUUUAUUUUAGGUUAAACAUUGAUGACCCAAAUAUUAAAAACCCUCAAAUUAUGCAUAAUCCCUCCCCUACCCCUGGGCUCCCCGACAAAUACACAUCUCUGUCCCCCACCACCUCCUUAUUGGUAGAGCUGAGUGGGAAUUGCACACUGCUGAAUAUUUAACCAAAUACUUUAAUCAUUGGUUAUCUGGUAAAAGCAUCAAGCCUAUGCUGACAGACACACAAUUAAGUGGCAGAACUGAGGUAAUUAUCUAUAAAUUCAGUUUAAAAACUAAACUCAAUGGCCAGUUUUGCCUGAAAUACCCCAGUCAUGGAGAGAGUUCCUUUUGGUUUGCAAAGUGUCCCUUUGGUUUGCAUUAUUCCCAUAAUUGCCUUAAUUCCCACUUGACUCCGUGUGAGUGGAAUCACAGACACACAGAAUUUUAGUCUCUUGGAGAUUAGCGAGUCCAACCCCCUUAUUUUUCAGAUCAGAAAACUGAGACCCACAGAGGUUAAAAGGCCUGUCCCGGUCAUCAGAGGGUGGUAGCAGAGUCCAGUCAUGAGCUUACAUCUGCCAGCUCCCAACUCAAUACAAUGUCACCUUGUCCUGGCUCCAUUACCUCUACAGAAAGAAAACGUGUCGCCAACAAGGUGAAAGGGACAAGUAGUUAGUUAUAAUUCUGGUAAACUUUAAAUGAAGACAGCAAAACUCCACUCAAAUCAAAUGCAACAAUUCACCUUGGCUGAAUAUCGAAUAACUUUCUCUAUACAUUUUCCAAGAACACUAAAAUAACCAGCUUUGAAAAAUAAACGAGUCUUCACAAAAUAAAAAUAAUUUUCACCCUUUCGGUUUUUUUUUUUUUUUUUUUUUUUUUUUUUUCUGAGACAGAGUUUCACUGUUGUUGCCCAGGCUGGAGUGCAAUGGUGCAAUCUCGGCUCGCUGCAACCUCUGCCUCCCAGGUUUAAGCCAUUCUCCUGCGUCAGUCACCCAAGUCGCUGGGAUUACAGGUGCCCACCACAAUGCCCGGCUAAUUUUUUUUUUUUUAUUUUUAGUGGAGAUGGGGUUUCACCAUGUUGGCCAGGCUGGUCUUGAACUCCUGACCUCAGGUGAUCCACCGGUCUCAGCCUCCCAAAGUGUUGGGAUUACAGGUGUGAGCCACCAUGCCUGGCCUUCACCAUUCCUAAUAGGUAUCUAGUGAAAAACCUACAAGAAUCUUUUAAGACCCACAGGGAACUCAGGUCCAGGAUGUUGCACGAGCUGAAUAUCUGGCUCAGUGUGAAGGCGUGCCCAGCGAAGUUAUCAGUUCGAGGGCCUUCAAGCACAGCCAACACAUUACAUCAGACCGUUACAAAAGAGCCCACACUUAGGCCCAAAGUUCUCUAUAAAGGAGCUCCCAGCCUGUUAGGUUGCUUUUUUACUCUCCUAGGGCAUUAAAUUCGACAAGCACAUAUCCAUUUUUUGUUUUUUUUUUGGGUGGCGGCGGGGGACAGAGUCUCGCACUGUCGUCCAGGCUGGAGUGGCGCCAUCUCGACUCACUGCAACCUCUGCCUCCCAGGUUCAAGCAAUUCCUCUGCCUCAGCCUCCUGAGUGACUAGGGCUACAGGUGCAUGCUGCCACGCCCAGCUAAUUUUUUAAAUUUUUUUUAGUAGAGAUUGGGUUUCACCAUGUUGAUCAGACUGGUCUUGAUCUCCUGACCUCGUGAUCCACCUGCCUUGGCCUCCCAAAGUACUGGGAUUACAGCCAUGAGCCACCAUGCCCAGCCUAUAUCCUUUGUUUUUGAAACAAAAAUGUUUUUUUUUGUUGUUGUUCUUCUGCC
ensembl:lncRNA